UCAAGCUAUAAAGAGCGCAAGGGGAAUGCCUUGGCAUCAGGAGCCGACGAAGGACGUGACAAGCUGCGAUAAGCUUCGGGGAGGAGCAAAUAUCCUGUGAUCCGGAGAUUUCCGAAUGGGGAAACCCACUGGAGCAAUACUCCAGUAACGUGCAUUGAACAAAAUAGGUGUACGUGGGGAACCGCCUGAACUGAAACAUCUAAGUAGGGCGAGGAAAAGACAUCAACCGAGAUUCCGUAAGUAGUGGCGAGCGAACACGGAGUAGGCCAAACCGGAGGAUUUAUUCUCCGGGGUUAGGACUUGCAUCACGAUCAGAAGAAUCUAACAGAACGGCAUGGGAAGGCCGGCCACAGAGGGUGAGAGCCCCGUACGUGAAAGAGGAAGCUGACAGCGAGUAUCCAGAGUACCGCGGGACACGUGAAACCCCGCGGGAAAACGGGUGGACCACCAUCCAAGCCUAAAUACUACCUGAUGACCGAUAGAGGAGCAGUACCGUGAGGGAAAGGUGAAAAGGACCCCGGGAGGGGAGUGAAAGAGAACCUGAAACCUUGUGCUUACAAGCACUCAAAGCACGUUAAAGUGUGAUGAGGUACUUUUUGUAGAACGGUCCGGCGAGUUAUAGUAACGAGCAAGCUUAAGGUAUUCAGUACCGGAGGCGAAGCGAGAGCGAGUCUGAAUAGGGCGCAUAAAGUUCGUUGCCAUAGACCCGAAACCGGGUGACCUAACCAUGAGCAGGCUGAAGUGAGAGUAAAAUCUCAUGGAGGGCCGAACGCACGUUCGUUGCAAUGACCGGCGAUGACUUGUGGUUAGCGGAGAAAUUCCAAUCGAACUCGGAGAUAGCUGGUUCUCCCCGAAAUAGCUUUAGGGCUAGCGUUAUCUUAGAUUACCGGAGGUAAAGCACUGAAUGGGCUAGGGGGCGAUAAGCUUACUGAACCCUAUCAAACUCUGAAUGCCGGAUAAUUGAUGGAUAGCAGUCAGACAGUGUGAGAUAAGUUUCAUUGUCAAAAGGGAAACAGCCCAGACCCACAGCUAAGGUCCCAAAUGUAUGCUAAGUGGAAAACGAUGUGGAGUUGCGAAAACAACCAGGAUGUUGGCUUAGAAGCAGCCACUCAUUAAAAGAGUGCGUAAUAGCUCACUGGUCGAGUGACUCUGCGCGGAAAAUAUAACGGGGCUAAGUAUGCAACCGAAGCUUGGGAUUGUCUAAAGACAGUGGUAGGGGAGCGUCGUGUAUGGGGUGAAGUCGCAUCGGAAGGAGCGGUGGACUGUACACGAGUGAGAAUGCCGGAAUGAGUAGCGAGAAUUAUGUGGGAAUCAUAAUGGCCGAAAAUCUAAGGUUUCUUGGGGAAGGUUCGUCCGCCCAAGGUAAGCCGGGAGCUAAGGCGAGGCCGCAAGGCGUAGUCGAUGCACAUACGGUAGAAAUUCCGUAGCCACCGAACCUUAAACCGGAAGGACACUUUCAGAUAGCAGAACCCAGCCGUUGGUAGAGCUGGGCGAAAGGGACUGAAAUAUAGUAGGGAAGUCUGCGAUGCUGAGAGGCGAGAAAAGCUCCGGUGUAUGCUAAGGUGCCCGUACCGCAAACCGACACAGGUAGAUGAGGAGAGAAUCCUAAGGCCAACGGGAGAAGGGUUGUUAAGGAACUCGGCAAAUUGACCCCGUAACUUCGGAAGAAGGGGAGCCCCGAAAGGGGCCGCAGUGAAUAGGCCCAAGCAACUGUUUACCAAAAACACAGGUUUAUGCUAAAUCGAAAGAUGACGUAUAUGAGCUGACGCCUGCCCGGUGCCGGAAGGUUAAGAGGAGAUGUCAACCUUAAGGUGAAGCAUUGAAUUGAAGCCCCGGUAAACGGCGGCCGUAACUAUAACGGUCCUAAGGUAGCGAAAUUCCUUGUCAGGU
rnacentral:rRNA from 1 species